rnacentral:rRNA from 1 species
UACGAAGGGUGCAAGCGUUAAUCGGAAUUACUGGGCGUAAAGCGUGCGUAGGUGGUCUUUUAAGUCCGUUGUGAAAGCCCCCAGCUCAACUGGGGAAGUGCCUCGGAUACUGCCGGCCUCGAGGGAGGUAGGGGCGUGCGGAACUUCCGGUGGAGCGGUGAAAUGCGUAGAUAUCGGAAGGAACACCGGUGGCGAAGGCGGCUCUUUGGUCCACAACUGACGCUGAGGUGCGAAAGCCAGGGGAGCAAACGGG